GACCCGCUCUCGGCCAGGAACGCUCCUACCGAUUACAGGGUCUGGGCCCUGGCGGUACAGAGCGCUCCCAGGGGUUGGGGGGUUGAGGAUCGGCGAGGGGCGCAGCUGUGGAGACGACCGGGCUCCCGAGGGGCGGGCCCUCGAGACAAUGAUCCUCUGCAUGGGUCACUGACCCUCGCCCUGGUGACCCCUUAUGGUAGUAGCCAAGAGGUCUGCACGAUGCCACUUCCAUUGGGCUGCAUUUCCGCAGAGUAUCAGCUGCUGGAGUCCUAAUGUAGAACUUGAGGUUUCCUACUGGGAAAGGAAAGAAAGUUUUUGUAACUGAUUUUCAGGAAAGAAGCUCCCAUAAUAGAACAAGGGUCUGUGUGCCGUCCUCACCAAUGUCACAUGGCCUUGGCACCCAGCAAGUUUAGCGUUGAAGCAAAACACCUAAGAUGACACAAAGGAGUGGCAGUGGGAGCCGCCGUCACGACGCUCUGCCACUUGCAGUUUCAGAAGUUUAAAAAUAAAAUUGUAGAAGUAAAAGGAAACGUGGUCUACAAUGGAGUCCGGCGGCCAGCAGGGGGAGCUCUCGGCCCUGCCACUCCGGGUCAAUUGCAGAUCCAACGAGAAGGGACGCACCUUGCAGGUGGAUUCCACUGUAGCUACUACUUUACAGACCCCCAGGAGGAAGGAAGGUUUCCUCCUCCCCCAGCAACAGUCCAGCCAAUGAGAGACUGUCAUAGUCCAGCCAAUGAGAGACUAUGGAUCAGCCAAUGAAAGGCUCCUACAGUUCCAGCUCUCAAUUUCCUCCAAUGGACUUUCUGUUGACAACAGCCCUCCUGUCUUCUAUAAAAGAGCCUCCUGGGGACCCCCCCCCCCGCCCACCCCGGGUGGCUCAGUCGGUUCAGUGUCCCACUUUGGCUCAGGUCAUGAUCUCGAGGUAUGUGGAUUCAAGCACCACAUCCGAGUCUGUGCUGACAACUGAGCCUGGUGCCUGCUUCUGAUUCUCUCUCUCUGCCCUCCCACUCUCACACUUUCUCC